CGCGGCGGACACCGGCAAUGCGGCGGCACCGCCGCUAUAGAGGCCCCGGCCCCGGCCGCGAGCGUGAAUAGCUCCGGCAGCCCCGGCCCCGCCGGCUGAGAGGGGCGCGGGGCAGGGCUGAGGGGAGGGUCCAGGGCAGGGGUGCGACAGGGCCUCGGCCCCUUGGUUUUAUAAGGGGUUUCAUAUCCCCCUGCCAAAUCCAAAGCGGUGCAGGAAGAGUAGGUUCCUAAACUGAGUUGACGAAUAGGGUUUCCAUUUGAGCAGUUGAUCUCCUUGUGGAAUCCUCUGUGUCUGAGGACAAAUCAAGACAGGUGGCUGUGCUAGAGCAGAUGGGCACUGCAGUGGAGGUGGAGAGAGCUCCCAGAGCUGAUGUUCAUCGCGCUCCAAGGCAGCCCUGAUGAGCAGAACCUUUAGAAGUCUGAAAGGACUGAGGUGAAAAGGACUGAGAGCUGUUCCUGCAAUUUAAGUGCUUGAAAUCAUUCAUGCUACUUCGUCAGAGCUGGCUCUUGAUUAGUUCAGGUGCUUUACCAUUAGAAAGGUGAUGGAAAUGUGGAGUUAAGAAGCCUGGACAAGCACCAAGCCCAGGCUGUCAGCGAGGCAGUGCCAUGGUGCCAGUCCCUGCCAUUGGCACAGCAGGGCCUUCCUGGGGCUCUCUGUGCUCACCAGGGAGGGCUCCCACAGCCCUGCCCAGCCCACUGCAUGCCUGGCCUGAAGCUGGGUGCCCUGCUGCAGGGAGCAAACCCAGGCAGAACUGCAAAUACAAACAUGCAUUAGCACAGCCAAAGUGCUCCGUUACUUGAAAAGCAGAGAACUGUACAGGGUUUGAAUAGAGGAAACGAGCCAAACUCUGUGAAGUCAAGGCUGGAAUACUGAGGGCAGAACGAAGCUGUGCUGCAUUAUUAGGGGAUUCAUGAGUGGUGUGGCAGAGAGGGGAAAAGGAGCUUGGUUGACCUGGUGUGAUCUAAAAAUACAUAGAAUGUGCUAUACAGAGUCAGCUGUUGUAACAUCUUUAAAGGAUAAAAUAUGCAGCUUUCUCUGAAGUGGGGGAAUGGAAGGGUCUCACAAAGCAGGCGUUCAGAAGCACCUUGUGUUCAUUCACGUGAUCCAAUCACAGUGAGUAGCAUACACUGUCUUUGUAGUUGCUCUCAAUAAUCUGGUAAUUGAAUUAGCAGCUAAAUACUGAAAGAUUAGACACCAUAUCUUUGGGAGAGGAGUGUAGAAGUGAGUCUAACUUGAUUAUUGCAUCAAAUCAAUUUUGUCUUCAUUGUGAGUUGAAGCAAAUAGUUAAUGGUUCAGAACUUCUUAUGCUCCUUCUGUUGCAAAGAACUCUGCCAGUUUCUGGUGUUUUAACUCUUGUGUGAGACAUGAUACCACAGAGAAGGAACAGAAAAAAAAUUAAAUUGUGUUAAAUUGUCAUAAGCCCCUGAGCUGGUGAGUUGGUUUGAUAUUGUUUAUUCCACUAGAACUCGAAGCGAUUAAUUGAAUAAACAUUUGUUUGAGUCUUUAAUUUGUCUAUAAA